GCCCCCUUAGCUCAGUAGGCAGAGCGACUCCAUGGUAAGGAGUAGGUCUACGGUUCGAUUCCGUAAGGGGGCU
rnacentral:tRNA from 1 species